AGUGAACGCUGGCGGUAGGCCUAACACAUGCAAGUCGAACGGCAGCACAGUAAGAGCUUGCUCUUACGGGUGGCGAGUGGCGGACGGGUGAGGAAUACAUCGGAAUCUACUUUUUCGUGGGGGUUAACGUAGGGAAACUUACGCUAAUACCGCAUACGACCUACGGGUGAAAGCAGGGGAUCUUCGGACCUUGUGCGAUUGAAUGAGCGGAUGUCGGAUUAGCUAGUUGGCGGGGUAAAGGCCCACCAAGGCGACGAUCCGUAGCUGGUCUGAGAGGAUGAUCAGCCACACUGGAACUGAAACACGGUCCAGACGCCUAAGGGAGGCAGCAGUGUGGAAUAUUGGGCAAUGGGCGCAAGCCUGAUCCAGCCAUACCGCAUGGGUGAAGAAGGCCUUGGGGUUGUAAAGCCCGUUUGUUGGGAAAGAAAAGCAGCAGGUUAAUACCCCGCUGUUCUGACGGUACCCAAAGAAUAAGCACCGGCUAACUACGUG
rnacentral:rRNA from 1 species